AUGCAGGGUGGUUGGUGCCAUUAGACUGAGGUUGGUGAUGCUCCUAUCAAAUCUAGACUGCACAGAGAGACAUCUAGCAAACCCUGGAGGUUGGAGAAAGAUAAUAUCUUAAAACACAACAUAUCAAGCAGAUAGUAGAGAGAACCAGGAGUGAUCCAGAACACAAUGGAGCUUAUAAGGAAACAGAAGAAAUAAGGAGGAUGCUGGGAUCUGAAGUGAAUGAGGUCAGGAAGACGAUGAUAAUCAUCAUCAUCAAUCAAGAUUACAAGUGAUGCGACCUGAACACGGCAUGCUGCUUUCUUUUGCUGCACAGUAUGGAUCCUUUCCAAAUGUUAGAUGCCAUUGUGAGACCAGUAAGAAUUUGUCUUAAAGCUCCAAACAGAAACGGAUGGAUGCCCCUUGACAAACACAAAUAUCCAUUAAAUGCGUUAUGUUUAUUUUUCUCUGAGAGAAAGAUAAAGAUAUUAUCUGACAACAGGAGAAAUACAGUAUGCUAAAAGUACAAACCUAUCAAGAAAUUAAACUCAUACUAAUUUUGAUUUGUCACCUUACAUUUCAAUCUUGUAUUGAUCUGGUAAAAUGACUAAUCCUGAUCUGUGUUUUUCACAAAAUUGUACUGUACAUAUUGACCAUUUUCAUUAUGAAACUUUGUAAUUAUGAUGACUACACUGAUGAUAAAAAUGUCCAGCUGGUAGGUAACUAUAAGGCAAUAAGAAGCAAAAAGGGUUGCAGGUGAUUUAAAUGUUUUAUUUUGCUUCAAUAUCCACAUUGUCUGGACAAUGAGAUACUUACGUCUUUCAUCUUGAAUUAUUUAUCUCAUGUUUUUAACAAACAUUAUAUGCAAAGUUGCAAUCCUAUAAUUAUCUCGCUUAAUACCUUUUAAUUUACAAAUGGACAAGCACAAGUCUUUUUCCAUGUGAUUUCUUUUUUAGUGCUUAUCUUUGAAUUUUACAUCUUAUCCAGUACGUAUUACUCAGGAGAGUGAAACGGGGUAGAAGGCUUCGCAUUCAGCAACAACACCUUUGAGAUGAAAUACUGGUCACCUCCAAGAAAAAAGGAAGUCUGAAGGUUACCAAUUCACAGCUCUAUAUUCCUUUUUCUCUCACCGCGAAGAGAGGCCAGCAAAGACCAAAACAACCCCACCUGGAAUUCAUAUUUACCUUUCAUCAUCAUCCGCUUCUUGCUCACAAUGUGCACAGAUAUGUUAUUAUCGCUCCUUAGAGAGAAAAGUCUGCUGGUACAACGGCAAACAGGUGACUCCAGGGCAUCUGGGGUCAUUGGUAUGGAAGAUAAUUCAAAUAAUUUGCCUCAUCAGGUAUUACCUUUGUGUAUUUAACUCUUACUGAUCCCGUGUGAUUUGGUAAGAGCAGCAGUCGUGUUAGUAUUUACAGAUUGUGUAGAAUUUUGUAACAGACUGAUUAGUUUGCUUACUUAAUGCUGUUGAAGCAGAGCGCAGACUAAAAUUUCUCGUAAGACCUCAAGCUGUAAGCUAAUCAUAUGUAGAAAAUGAUCUGUAGGUUCUUCUGGGCCUUUUAAACUGAUUUGAUUUGUUAAGUGUUGAUUGAAGAAAUUUAUUCACUCACAAAGAAAAUCUGAUGAGUUCUAUGAGUCUAGCUUUUUCCAUAUCUGAGGAAAUUCUUGUUCAUAUUCAUAAAAAAAGCUUACAGAAUCAACAUACUUUACAUGAUCACUGAAGAAAGAGAAACUAUAAAGGUUUAGGCUGACAACUACUCAGGGUAAAAGCAUACUAGAGUGGGCCACCUGUAUUGGUGGGGGUUAGGAACCACAACAGAUUGCAAGUAGCUUAAAUCUUCAAAUACAUGAGGCAACUAUUAUAAUAAUUGCCUAUUAUAAUAGUUGAAACACCAAAUGUAUGUUAGUGUGCGUUUAUAUACACAGUGGGAACCAUUUUGUCAGUUCUUCAGGAGUUAACAGCCAUGGCUUUCUUUCUUUAUCUACGCUGUUGGUGGUUCAGCUAAUCAAGGACAAUGAAAAGCACUUCUGGAUUGGCUGCUCUGCAAACGCCAGCUAAAGGCGUGUCAUGAAGCAUUGUGCAAUAUUUCAUUUUCAAAAGCUACAUUUUCUUCUGAAUGCUUAAGAUGAACUCUACAAAAGAAAUCUGUAAAAUGGCAAUUUUUUGGUGAAUAGGUGAAUCCAUGAAUACUGAACUGUGAAUAGGUGGGCAUCCACUGAACUCUGUCAGUGCCACAACAAAUGGUUAUCAAGGCAGAAAAAUGACAAUAAGGUUGCUGAAUCAGCCUCACUGAAUCAGCAUUUUUGUUCACUGUAUCACAUAAUAUUCCUGUCCUAAUAUCCAAUUUUUUAUUGGAUUGUUGUUCUGAGUGUCCACACUAUCUGCUAUACUACUAGCAAUGCAAGGAAAUAACAAAUGUAUUUGCAUUGUGUGUAUUCAUACAUUAGAGGAACUUUCAGAUCUUCCAGACAAACAAGAGAAAAAUACUGUUCCUACAUUGAUAAAGAAGUAUGCUAGGCUUAGAUCUAUCAAUCCGCUUUGAGUUAUUUGAGCCAAUGCUACAAAGAUCUGAUAGUAUGCAGGUAAUCCAGUAUCACAUUUAGCACCUUGCAGUUCAGAGAAACAAGACUCGAGAUCCAAUAUAUCGCCUACAAAUGUUACAUUUAACAGUAGGUGGUUUUUGGACCAUUUUCCUGUUGUUUUCAACACCUUCCAAAUAGGGGUGUAGUGUUAUUUGCUAAAAUGCCACAAGGCAUUGAAAAUGCUAAUGACACUUUCCUUUGUAUUCUAGAGUGAUGGAUAUUAUAAACAUCUAUGCUAUAUCUUAGUAGCAACACGACUUUGUACCACCUCAUCUUGCUUUUUUUAAUCUUUCUAAACCAACAUGGCUAUUUCACAAAAUGAGCUUAUUUUCUUGGUUGUACAAUUGGCUGAUUUGUUGAGAAAAAAAUACAUUUUCCAAAUUUGAGAUUCUUAUUAAAAUCUUGUUUAUGUAUAUCUGUGAUGAUAUAUAAAGGAAUGAUUUUAAAAAACUAACAAACACUGAGCUCUGUCUUUGGGGUCUAUGCUCACAUCUUUGUUGGCUGGAAAUCACAACAAAACUUGCGUUGUUUAUACCAUUUUACCUGCACCCAUGUUAAUGUGUGAUAGGCUGUCACCAAUAAAAAUCAUGUUCUUAGAAAACA